UACGGGGGGGGCAAGCGUUGUUCGGAAUUACUGGGCGUAAAGGGCUCGUAGGCGGCCAACUAAGUCAGACGUGAAAUCCCUCGGCUUAACCGGGGAACUGCGUCUGAUACUGGAUGGCUUGAGUUUGGGAGAGGGAUGCGGAAUUCCAGGUGUAGCGGUGAAAUGCGUAGAUAUCUGGAGGAACACCGGUGGCGAAGGCGGCAUCCUGGACCGGUACUGACGCUGAGGCGCGAAAGCGUGGGUAGCAAACGGGG
rnacentral:rRNA from 1 species